rfam:Lingula anatina scaffold178, whole genome shotgun sequence.
GUGCAGAUGAUGAAACUAGAUCCAACUCUUAUGAUCAGUGCAGAGUUAUAUCACAUCGAGCUUUUUAACCCUGAUGCACU